rnacentral:tRNA from 5 species
GGGGGCGUAGCUUAGCGGUUAAAGCGCCUGCCUGUCACGCAGGAGAUCGUGGGUUCGAUUCCCAUCGUCCCCGCCA